rnacentral:SRP_RNA from 1 species
GGUAGAUAGCCGGCGCCUGCCACCCGACACAGCCAAUGCGUAAGGGGCACAGAUCCGGGGCCGUCGGUUGCC